rnacentral:lncRNA from 15 species
AUGCAGCAGGGAGGCCAGAAGACCAGAAACACACUGGAGGGACUAUAUUUAUCUCAGUGCUCCAGGAGCACCCAGGAUAAGCCAGAGAAGGAUGGGCUGUACUUUUCCAAACAUACCACCUCAACUGAAGACUGUGGAUCAUUCCAACAGAUGAGCUUUUGGGAACGGUUGAUCCACACACUUCCACGCUACGGCAGAGCUACAGACAGAAUGCAGAGAGAUGAGGGGAAAAUAUCUGAACAUUUACCAAUACUCACAUUUAGAUUCGUAGAGGCUUUAAGUGAAAAGCACAAGUUAAACUGAUCAGGUGAAAAACUGAAGUUAAAUUGACUCACUAUUUUCCAUAGACAAAGGUUCAACACUGGAUUACAAAGCUCUGAUUGGUAACAGAUAUUACAAUAUGUAUUUGUGCACAUGGUAUUGUGUCUUGGUUGAGUUACAUCAAUAAAUGUCAUCAAAAACUACUACUAUGAGUUACUUUUCAACCGCUGAUGUUUAACGCAUUAACAAUAGCAGGCAUUCACUCCUGUCCAAAUCUGUGCCUGUCGCAGCAUCUGUUUUUUUUAAUGAUUUUCAUUGACCCGCAAAGUGCUGAAAAAAAACAGAUGCUGGUCGUCACAGGUCACAAGCCGGCCACAGAGCAAUUUAGAAAUGAACAAUGCCCGUCCAUCGCGUCAGACUGAGGUUUCGAAGAACUGAGUGAGAAUCCCAGAAAUUCACAGAAAGGAAACAAAGCCAAACACCUGUGUGUGAUCAGAAUUCCUUUAAGCUACUCUGUUUUUACCUUGAUUUAAGAGUUUAGAGUUUAAAUUGGAUUUGUGAGGCACAACACGCCAUUGGUGUUCUAUGACUUCUGUAUUUUAACUAGAUUGUGGACCCUGUGCACUCUCAUGGGGAUGUUCAGCGGCCCCUUUAAGACUUGCACAUGUAGCAGGCUGGGCUUUGUCAACCAGCAGGUAUUAAUGAUCACCUGCACCAGGCCUGACCCACCGGGCCCAACCUGUAUCCUGGCCACACUCGGUGGGGGUGGGGGGGUUUAUUGCAUUAAAUGAUAGUGACAGCUGUAGAGUGACAGAAAAGGGGUUAGAGAGAGUGCAGCAAAGGGCCACAGUUGAACCCAUGUCUCCUGUAGUAAGGACUAAGCCUUUGUACGUGGGGCACCAGCUACCAAGGGCGCCCCUAGUUUGCAUUACUUUUAAUUCAAGUGUAGUUCCCCAAUUUUAGCAAUUUUGUGCACUUGGCAGGCACUGACCUGAAGCUGUAUAGGACACCAGGAAUGAUGGUGGUUUUCCAUUGAUAAUCUAAGCAGUUCUUUAUAUGGUUGUAUUUACUGUUUACUACAUUUCUUUUCAGUGUAUUGGUUGUUUAUUUAGAAGAUUUAUUUCUUUUUUUUAUUAGUAUUGUUUUGUUGACAAAUGUUUCCGUUUGUAUUCUUAGAUUUAUUAAUUAAGCACUAAUAUAUCCCUUGUGUUCCCCGCACACACUGCAAAAAAGGAAUUUUAAGAAAGUAAAAAAGCCUUGUAUCAAGGAAAUAAGUCUUAUUUUUUGUCCAAAAAGGAAAUUAAUCUUGUCAAGCAUGUUUCGCAUUGGAAAAAUAAUCUAAUUUUAAGAAAGUACGGCUAACUUUUUCUUAAUAAGAUAUUCCAGCUACUUUUGAGCUAGAAUGAAAUAUAAAAAUGUUUUACAAUAAAACCCAGUGGAGCAACAAGAUUAUUUGCCUCAUUUUAAGAGUAAGACCACUUGUACAACUUCUCAAUUUAAGAGUGCCAAGAAACAAAAAAAUUAAAGGUUGUUUAUUUUCAUUUGUUAUGUGUUCUCAGGCCAUCUGAACCUGGUAGAACCUGCUGCUUCAUAUCUUACAUAUUAAGAUGACAGCAGGCUGGCAAAUAACCAUGCUUGGACAAAAACGGCAUGGCCCAUAAACAAAACAAAAUGACCAAAAAUGACCAAAAUGAAAUGACCCUUGACUCAACUGCAUUCUCAAUCACAAUGUAGCAAUGACUAUGGUUUAUACAGUAGGAUCCUGCAAGCAUCAGCAUAAAGACUGCUAUUAAUUAAUUGAUUGCUGAUCUGCUGUUUUAUCAUUCAGAUUAAAGUUAUUUUGAUACAUGAAAAGAUAGAAACAAUCAUGAAACAAACAACAGUCAAGAAACAGUUUGUCAUGAGAGGCCAACACAUUAAACAGUGUGCCUUUUACAGGUCAUCAGAUGAGGCUCUGUGUAGCCCAAGCACAUCUCCCAGAUAAUAUUUCGUAGGAAC